GGACUACCGGGGUAUCUAAUCCUGUUUGAUCCCCACGCUUUCGCGCCUCAGCGUCAGUUGUAUCCCAGAUGGCCGCCUUCGCCACCGGUGUUCUUCCUAAUAUCUACGUAUUUCACCACUACACUAGGAAUUCCGCCAUCCUCUAAUACACUCUAGCUCUGCAGUAUCAGAAGCAAUUCCGGAGUUAAGCUCCGGGAUUUCACCUCUGACUUGCAGAACCGCCUACGCGCCCUUUACGCCCAGUAAUUCCGAACAACGCUAGCACCCCCUGUAUUACCGCGGCUGCUGGCAC
rnacentral:rRNA from 1 species